rnacentral:sRNA from 1 species
UACCGUCCUCGCCCGGCGCCUUGCGCCUCUU